CGGUUCUACCAACCAUUCCUACGUAUGCCUAUAUCUUCGCCGCACCUUCCUGACCACUUGACUUUUUUGUUUAGUUUCCAUCAAAAAACAAUUUGGGGUUUAUUGCAAGAGUAUUCCUCUUCGCGAUUUUUAACUGUCAAGGAAACCUCCGAAUCCUGACAGUUCCAAGCGAAGAUUUUCAUUGUGCACCAGUGACUGGUUCCAUUCGACCACUGGCAUUAGUAAAUGAAGAAAGAGAAUCAUAAUUACCUGAGCCAUUGAAGACGAACUAACUAGGUGGGAAGUCAAUUUCGUACAGAUUGGGCUUUGAAGGAGAGCUUCUGUCAUCUUCGAUUUCUGUCAGGGGAUACAACCUCUUCUCCAUGCCAUUUUAGAUUAAUUCCAUUCAAACCCACUGUUAUAGCUGACAUUGGAGAGAGCCCAUUAUAAAGGAUGAUAGCUCUAGACAAAUCUUCACUUUCUCUUGGCAAGUCCACUUUGUAAUUCACGACUGGGCUAGUAAUCAUGCCCAUGGCAUUCAAAAAACUGGGCUUUAGACUUUCCAUUAGCUUGUCCUUCGCCUUUAUGUGUGGCUGAUCUGUCACUGCAUUAUGAGGCCAGUAUUGGACCAUUUAUAGCGAUUGCAUUUGAUUGAGAUUGCAUAAUAUCCUCCCCCUUGUUUCUCAUGUUUCAAUUCUUGUUAAUAGAAUCCUUAUCUUUCCCCCAAAAUCCGCUAACACUUUUGAAACGCUUGCUCUUAUGAUUAUUUCUAGAUUUGGAUUUUUUAUGGGCCUUGUCAGCUUCUUGGUUUUUCUAGUUGCCAAUGGGCAUGUUUAUCACUAUCACUUCCGACCACCCCUCCUUCACCAUCACUAAAGCUUCCUUAAAAAUCUUGACAUUGGUAGUGCUUAGCCAAUUCCCAAAUUCAUUAGCCUCAUCACUACUACUAUCUUCCACUUCCUGUUUCUUCAUGCAACUCUUAACAUCAUGACCAAUUCGUCUACAACAAUAGUAAAAGUUUUGAAACCUUUCAUAUUUUUCAUUUACCCACCCUGGUUCCUUUUUUGGUCUUGGAAUCCAAAAUCCAUCUACUAAAGGUUCCUUCAAAUUCACGUUCACUCUGGCUCGGAUGAAGCUUCUUGUGAAUUUGUCCCCCAUUUCAGGAUUUUCGGGCAUCAUAACUUCUCCUACAGCAUUGCCAAGAAUCACAACAUUCUCCUUAUCAAAAGCUUCUAAAGGAAGGCCAUGGAAUUGCACCCAAAAGGGUGAUGAUGAGAAAUCAACCUCUUUGUACACCAUAUAAUCCUUCCAAAUUUGCAAGCUUAAAAGGUGAAAUUGUAUAGACCAAGCUCUUCCUUUAGGAUUCAAUAGUAAUCGUCAGCCUUAUCAAAUUUGAACAAGAAAGUAUUUUUAUCCUCAACAAUUUCAUAUACCUUAAUCUCCUCAUCGAGAUUCCAACCCAUUUUUAUCAUUGAAAUCGCCACAAGUUUGUUACGAUUUUUGUCACUAAUGAUCACCCCCACCAAAGCGCCUCCUUUUCUCUCCUUUUUUCCUUAGAUUGAGAACCACCUCUUCUGUUUCUUUUUACCACCACUGCUUUGUCUAGCCUCCAUAGCUCCAUUCUCCAAAAAAAAGAAAGAAGCACACAAGAUAGAAAAGCACUUAGUCACAGCAAAAACUCACUACCUCACAAUCAUAGGACACUCGCACUUAAAAAAGAUGGGAACUCAUGGAACCAAUCAUCAGUCACUCCAAUAAUGGCAAUGAUUAAGGUCACGCUCGAACCUCACAACUCCCACAAAGAAUAGAAAGGGACUGCCACAGAGGAGAGAUAAUUUUUUUUUUUUUAACCUUUUCAAUAGGCUAAGAAGUUAAGUUAUUCCACUAUGCUUUUUCAUCACUUGGGAUGUUGAUUAUUAGUUGUGGCUAUUAAUUUCCACAGACAAUUCUAUUAUAUAGAGUACUUCUUAUUUCU